AAUGGCAGUCCUCAUAUCUCAGGGUCCUGAGUUGCUAGGAUUUACAGGCAUGAUCCACCAGCACCUGGCUUUGUGAUCCCAAACUUUUAUAGCCUCUGCAGUUGAGGGUAGUGGGCUUGGAUUUAGAAGUGACCUUGAUAUUCCUAUUCAUAAAUAAAAUGGACAUUAAAGGCAACUUUACAAGAUGAUGACAUUUAACUAGACAUCCCUCUGAAGAGAAAUUACCUGUUCCUAUCUAGUUAGAACUAUUUCAAGCGUCACCUAAAAAAUUUAGUAGUAAGCAAUCAGUGGGACCAUGACUCAUGUUUGGGCUCCCUGCAAAAGCAUUUAUAUAUGUAGAUUGCAGAAACUCUUAGAACAUAAAAAGUUUUCCAAUUGUUUGUUUAAAAAAUUGCUAUAUUUGAAUUAGAUGCCCAAAGCAACAAAAGGGAAUUGCAAACAUUUUGUGAUACUGUGUGAACUUUUCUCCAUUCUGCUCAGUUCUCACUCCACCUAAACUCAGCGUAGAUUCCCCUGUGAAAAUUACAGAGG